GUGCAGCGGGCCCUGGUGGUGUCUCCAGUCUCAGCCGACAGUGGGCAGAGGUAGCCCUGGCACUGCCCGAGCCCGGCUGGGGUGUGGCCAGGAUCUGGGGCCUCAGGGAUCUGGCCCUUUCCCAGGGUCCGUUCCUGCUCACGAGGCCGCCACCUGCGUCGUGGUUGGUGAAGACGCACCGCCCCAUUCCCGUGCAUUUCGCUGAUUGCCACCGGCUCUGGAGCUGCCGGUAGCGUGGGCCAGCAGCACCGCGGGCCAGGAGCACCGCGGGCCAGCAGCACCGUGGGCCAGCAGCACCGCGGGCCAGCAGCACCGUGGGCCAGCAGCGCCCGUGAGGGGCCGUGGACUCCCCGGCCUUAGAGUCUAUUGAUGACUUGAACAAAUGGGCCCUGUUUCUUGUCUCUCCCUUCAUACUUGAGGCAGAGCACAUAGCAUUUGUGACAGAGAGCAUCUGGGCACAAGGUGACAGUUUCCAGAAACCAUCGUCUGCAGAAACAGUUGUAAAAUGGUCGGACUGCUGUUUGCCGUUAGCAUGCCGACCCGGGGAUCCCUACCAAUUAAUUGCUAAAGCAAGCGUGGACGACUUCAGCAAGCUCGGGGUUGCGUUUAUGGAGGAGAGGCUGCAGAUGGACAAUGGACUCAUAGCCCAGAAGAUUGUCUCAGUUCACUUAAAGGACUCCGCGCUGAAGGACGUCAACGAGGCCUCCACCAAGCAAGUCCAAGCCCUGCCGCUGAACCCAGAACCUUCCCUCGAGGCCGAGCCUGUGCAGGGCGUCAUGGAGCAUGCUGGCCAAGGUGACGCGAGGGCUGGUGAAGGCCCUUCCCUUCGGAGGAGGGGCUGUGCCUCUGGGGGUGAGCCUGCCGCGGAUGGCGACCCGGGGCAGAGCUCCGCUGAGCACCAUCAGCUCCACCUGUCCAGCUGCCACGAGUGCUUGGAACUUGAGAACAGUACCAUCGAGUCAGUGAGGUUUGCAUCUGCAGAGGACAUUCCAGAACUUCCCUAUGAUCACAGCAGCGGUGUGGAGGGUGCUGCCGACGAACUCUGCCCUGAAAGGGGAGGGAGGAGAGUCAACGUUUCGGGAAAGGCACCCAAUAUCUUGCUGUAUGUGGGCCCCAGUUCCGAGGAAGCCCUAGGCCGGCUCCAGCAGGUGCGGUCUGUCCUGAGCGACUGUGUGGACACGGACAGCUAUACUCUCUACCAUCUGCUGGAAGACAGUGCCCUCAGGGACCCAUGGCCAGACAACUGUCUGCUCUUGGUUAUUGCCACCAGGGAACCCAUCCCCGAAGACAUACACCAGAAGUUCAUGGCCUAUCUCUCUCAGGGGGGGAAGGUGCUGGGCCUGUCUUCCUCUUUCACGUUUGGUGGAUUUCAGGUGACAAGCAGGGACAUGCUCCGGAACACAGCCCAGAACUUGGUUUUCUCAAAGGCUGAUGGGAGUGAGGUACGGCUCAGUGUCCUGAGCAGCGGCUGUGUUUAUGAGGAAGGCCUCACCCCAGGCAGACUCCAGGGCCACCUCGAGAAUCCGGACAAGGACAGGAUGAUUGUGCACGUGCCUUUUGGAAGCCGAGGAGGGGAGGCCGUUCUCUGCCAGGUGUACCUGGAGCUCCCUCCAAGCGCUUCCGUGGUGCAAACCCAGGAAGACUUUAACGUGCUGAAGUCCAGCAACAUGAGAAGGCAUGAAGUCCUCAAGGAGAUCCUGACCACCCUUGGCCUAAGCUGUGAUGUCCGGCAGGUUCCCACCCUAACACCGCUGUACUUGCUGCUGGCCACCGAGGAAAUCCGGGAUCCUGUGAUGCAGUGGAUUGAGAGGCAUGUGGAUCCUGAAGGGAUCAUAACAUCCAGCAAGCUCUCCCUUAAGUUCAUGUCCUCUUACACAUCUGAAGUGGAAAUCAGCCCGUCUUCUGUACCCGUGGUUACCAAUCCCGAAGCCUUCUCCUCAAAGCACUUUAACUUAGACACGUAUCGACGAAAUCUGCAGACCUCGCGGCUGGGGAAAGUAAUUCUGUUUGCCGAAGUGACCUCCACGACCAUGAGUCUCUUGGAUGGGCUGAUGUUUGAGAUGCCACAGGAAAUGGGUUUAAUCGCCAUUGCUGGUCGCCAGACCCAGGGCAAAGGAAGGGGCCCGAAUGCCUGGCUGAGCCCUGUGGGGUGUGCCCUUUUCACUCUGCUGGUCUCCGUCCCCCUGAGGUCACACCUGGGACAGAGGAUUCCAUUUGUCCAGCAUUUGAUGUCCCUGGCUGUGGUGGAGGCGGUGCGGUCCAUUCCAGAGUAUGAGGAGAUCAACUUGCGAGUGAAGUGGCCCAAUGAUAUUUAUUACAGUGACCUCAUGAAGAUUGGUGGAGUUCUGGUUAAUUCAACGCUCAUGGGAGAAACAUUUUAUAUCCUUAUCGGCUGUGGAUUUAACGUAACUAACAGUAACCCUACCAUAUGCAUCAACGACCUCAUCGAAGAGCACAAUAAGGAGCACGAGACAGGCCUGAAGCCCUUACGAGCCGAUUUUCUCAUAGCCAAGGCGGUGACUGUGCUGGAGAAACUGAUUGACAGGUUUCAGGACCAAGGGCCGGAUGGCGUCCUUCCUCUCUAUUAUAAAUACUGGCUGCACAGUGGUCAGCGAGUCCGCCUGGGCAGCGCCGAGGGGCCGCAGGUGUCCAUCGUGGGCCUGGAUGAUUCUGGGUUCCUGCAGGUCCAUCGGAAGGGUGGUGAGGCUGUGACCACCGUGCAUCCAGAUGGCAACUCCUUUGACAUGCUGAGAAACCUCAUCCUGCCCAAGCAACAGUAGCCCACGUCCCCAGACAGCUCGGAUCCGCCCUGCCGCAGCAGCACGCCACAACGGGGGAGCUCCUGGGCUGCUCCUGGGAGCUCCGAGCAAGCACUGGCUGUCGCCUUUGCCUGCCUAGGGCCCCAGAAAGGAAUGUAGAGCUGUAGGCCAGUGUCUUCUCCGAGUCAUUUGUUAGCUCUUCAGGUUAUUGGUUCCCUGUCUCCGCCCCCUACCCCACCCCACCCCACCCCACCCCCCGGGUUUGGGUUUUUACUUUGUCUUUUUAUAUCUGUGGUUGUAUUUGGUGUUUGAAGAUGCAUCUGGUGAGGAUGGACAGGCGAAGACUCAAUUUAGCUUAGGAGUUCGGUUUGCCAAACUCCUAAGUCAAAGUGCUCUUUCCCACAUGGGCUUGGACUUACGUUUACUAGGAGAAAAUGAGGGGCAGGGAGUUGGAAAUAGCAAUGAGGUAGUGCAAAUAUUUCCUAGGUAGUGAAGGCUGUUCCAACAACGAACGCGCUGAGCUCAGGUGAAUGCUGAGUUAGCGGUCCGCCAUGACUGCUUGUGAUCCUCCAGGGGAUUCUCCCAGAACACACGGUGCUGCUUAGGCAUUGGGCUGCUCUUUGAUUUGGUUCUGGGGUUGUUGUUGUUAUUUUUCUUAAUCAAGGUGGGCUACCUGAAGAGUGGCUGCAGUGACCCCCACGUGGCUGUGAUGGCCUCGGGGAGGAAGUAAGUUUCUCACUUUGCUCUUAUGCAAAGAGCACUCCUUCCCAGGGUCAGAUGGGUCAAGUUUUAGGCUUUUAAGCCAAGAUGGCACCUUCUUUGGAGGCUGAUGCUAAGCCCAGGUUGGAGAUAAAGGCUCACUGUUCUGCCCACGUGAGGGACGAUGCUUGGAACUUUUAAGCCAGUCGUCGGCUCUGUUAGAAUGUGGAGCGUUCCCACAGGGCUGUCCUCAUGCGGGAUGGCGGGCGUGGCACUGUAUUACAAGUCGAGAUUUUCUGCCCCCUAUUUCAUUUUAUUGUCAUGAGAGAAAGAGAUAUUGACUCUAAAGUUUGGAGGAGUGUGCGUGUGCGUGCAUGUGCGUGCGUGCGUGCGUGCGUGUGUGUGUGUGUGUGUGUGUGUGUGUGUGUGUGUGUGUGCCUGAGCACUCACAUAUGACUUUAAAAGAGAUGUUCAAACUCCGACGUGUCCAUGGAAGAACAAAGGAAAGGAAGCCUUUCUAGGUUUGUUUCCAGAUGUACGUGCGCUUCCCAUGUACCUCCCGUCUCUGUGGAGUUUGUGAACUGUACCCAUUACCACCCAGCCUUAGAGAACCAAUUCCUGUCUGCUCUCCCGCUUCCUGCCCAUCGGACUGCAGUUAGUGGAAGGAAGCUGAAGCAGCGGAGGGAAAGCUUUGAACAAGAUCCCCUCAUCGCAAACGAGCACCAUCUUUAUCCAGGUCUUACGUAGUCAGGCCAAACUCCAGAAACCCGAGGUUUUCAGUAUAAAAACCCAUCCACCUUCAACCUAGCACCGACAACCCCACUUGAAGCAAGAAAUAACAUAGUAAAUUCCACCAACCUGACCUAUGUUUGAAGGCAUGUAAAUUUAAAAGAACUUUAGAAAGUAACUUUUUUUUUUUUUGCAAAUAAGACUUCAACUAAAAAUUUUCUCAAAAAGAUUGUGUGUGUGUGUGUGUGUGUGUGUGUGUGUAAUUUUAGUUGAGGUCUUUUUUUUUUUUUAAUUCAUGUGAGUUUAAAUAAAACUCUACACCACCCCGAAAUUACAAAAUGACCGACCCUUGAGAGGGCGUCUGUAAAAUGUCAUCGAGAACGAAGAUCUCCAGGCUGAUGUUGCAAGCUUCGUUUCUCAGACUUUGUAAUAUAAGUCCCGCUGUCUCCCAGGACAGCCGUCAUUGCAUUUUAAAUUUCUUUGGGGGAUUAUUUAAUGAAAAACAUGCUGUUUUGUUUUAAACCGAAAGCCUAUUCUGGGUAGUUCUACUUUGGGAAAAAAUGUUAUCAUUUAAUUUCCUUUCUGUAAGUUAAAACUAAUGAAGUGUGGUCAUGGCAGAGCAGACAGAGAUGUUCUGGCCCUGGCAGCCGGCCUCUGAGUAGUUACACUGUUUCGGGGUAUUCUCGAUUAUGCAACCAUGACACCCACUUGUCCUGAGAGAGAGAAAGAAGCCUUGAAGCAGAUGCUUCCCAUUAACCUGGUGUUGCCUCACGUGAACCAAAGACGUCAAAGUCCCCAUGGUAGAGAGCAUUCUGCUGAUGGGGGUGGGGAGGCUGCCACACUGUACCUGCUCCAUGCAAGGGUAUCUGCUACUCAGCAGCCCCAGAUCUCCGGGAACCUUACAAAGUCUUAAGGGAAUCUUUGCUGUCUCCUCACCUUGAGAUGUGGCCACCUAACUCAGAAUCUGCAUAUGCUGUAGAGCAGGUUACUCCUGAUGUCAAGCUGCUUACAUAUCCCCCACCCCACCCCCCAGGCCCGUGUCGGAAGGCACACACAGCAGAAACUGGGUUUCAUAUGACCCAGCUAGAGCAGUGAGGGAGCCCUGGCAGGGAGGGCUGGGAGAUGUGUGUCCUGUGGAUCUCACUGUGCACGAUGACAUGACCCAAUGUGAAUGUCCUGUCUGCAGCAUGGUCAGAUACACACCCAGUGAGGGACCACAGACUCUGGGGGUUCCCCUAUACCUUGCACACUGUGUGGUAGUCCCCUGGCCUACCUCACAGGGCGCUUCCAGAAUGCAAGAGGGGCAUCUUAGGAGCUUUGCUUUCCCGACUGCCAGAAAUGGGACAUCCUCAUUCCUGGUUCAUCACUAUGCAUCUUUGAAAUAAACAAAAAUGUAAACCUUUGCUAUUUUUUAUUUUUUAGCUUUUCAAAGAAUCAUCUCUGAAAAGAAUUACUGUAAACCAAUGCCUAUAAAGCAAGUCUACCAAAAUAAACUUUUAAGAUUUUUCAAUAUGA